rnacentral:lncRNA from 1 species
UAGAAGGCUAAUUUAUUAUUUUAUGAUAUUAUAUUACAUUAAAGAAUGAUAUACUAGAACUAUACUAAACAAUAGAGUAAGGAUACUUACAGAAGGCUUAACAAGAUACUAAUGAAAAACCUGUGACUCUCUCCAGAGUCCUGACACAGCUGGCUGUGAUUGGUCAUUAUGUAAAAGCAAGUCACAUGAAACCAAUCAAAGAACCACCUGUUGGAUAAACAAUCUCCAAUCCACAUUCCAAAGCAGCAAAACACAGGAGAAGUGAAUCAGAUAAUUAUUGUUUUCAUUUUUCUCUGAGGCUUCUCAGGAGAAGAAAUCCUGGUGAAGGGAUUUUUCAGAAAAUAUGACAGUGACACAAUGGGAAAGGACAGCAGGAAGGAUGAUGACAGAGACCCUACAGGGUACAACAGGAAGAAGGAAGAGAAAACAGUGAGAUCUCUGCUCUUAAGGUUGUCUUCAUGAAAAUGUCCACUGGAUGACUACGAUAAAGAAAUGAAGAAUGAACAGACAGAAAAGGUAAUAAUAAGAAAAAGUGAAUUUCUAACUAUAUGCAGAACUACAU